rnacentral:rRNA from 1 species
GAUGAACGCUAGCGGGAGGCUUAACACAUGCAAGUCGAGGGGCAGCAUAGGGUAGCAAUACUCUGAUGGGCGACCGGCAAACGGGUGAGUAACGCGUAUGCAACCUACCCUGUACAGGGGGAUAACCCGGAGAAAUUCGGACUAAUAUCCCGUAAUAAUAUCCGGAGGCAUCUUUGGAUAUUUAAAGUUUCGACGGUACGGGAUGGGCAUGCGUAACAUUAGCUGGUUGGUAAGGUAACGGCUUACCAAGGCUAUGAUGUUUAGGGGUCCUGAGAGGGUGGUCCCCCACACUGGUACUGAGACACGGACCAGACUCCUACGGGAGGCAGCAGUGAGGAAUAUUGGUCAAUGGGCGCAAGCCUGAACCAGCCAUCCCGCGUGCAGGAAGACGGCCCUAUGGGUUGUAAACUGCUUUUCCAGGGAGAGAAACUUACGCACGUGUUGCGUGACUGACGGUACCCUGGGAAUAAGCAUCGGCUAACUCCGUG